rnacentral:rRNA from 1 species
GACGAACGCUGGCGGCGUGCUUAACACAUGCAAGUCGAACGGUAAGGCCCUUCGGGGUACACGAGUGGCGAACGGGUGAGUAACACGUGGGUGAUCUGCCCUGCACUUCGGGAUAAGCCUGGGAAACUGGGUCUAAUACCGGAUAGGACCACUGCCUGCAUGGGUGGUGGGGGAAAGCUUUUGCGGUGUGGGAUGGGCCCGCGGCCUAGCAGCUUGUUGGUGUGGUGAUGGCCUACCAAGGCGACGACGGGUAGCCGGCCUGGGAGGGUGACCGGCCACACUGGGACUGAGAUACGGCCCAGACUCCUACGGGAGGCAGCAGUGGGGAAUAUUGCACAAUGGGCGCAAGCCUGAUGCAGCGACGCCGCGUGAGGGAUGACGGCCUUCGGGUUGUAAACCUCUUUCAGCACCGACGAAGCGCAAGUGACGGUAGGUGCAGAAGAAGGACCGGCCAACUACGUGCCAGCCGCCGCCGUAA